rnacentral:rRNA from 1 species
GUGGGGAAUAUUGCACAAUGGGGGAAACCCUGAUGCAGCAACGCCGCGUGAGUGAAGAAGUAAUUCGUUAUGUAAAGCUCUAUCAGCAGGGAAGAAAAUGACGGUACCUGAGUAAGCAGCCCCGGCUAACUACGUGCCAGCAGCCGCGGUAAUACGUAGGGGGCAAGCGUUAUCCGGAUUUACUGGGUGUAAAGGGAGCGUAGACGGUAAAGCAAGUCUGAAGUGAAAUGCCAGUGCUCAACACUGGAACUGCUUUGGAAACUGUUUGGCUGGAGUGCAGGAGAGGUAAGUGGAAUUCCUAGUGUAGCGGUGAAAUGCGUAGAUAUUAGGAGGAACACCAGUGGCGAAGGCGGCUUACUGGACUGUAACUGACGUUGAGGCUCGAAAGCGUGGGGAGCAAACAGGA